rnacentral:rRNA from 1 species
AGAAUCAACGCUGGCGGCGUGCCUAACACAUGCAAGUCGAACGCGCAAGUGGAGCAAUCCAUGAGUAGAGUGGCAAACGGGUGAGUAACGCGUGGGUGAUUUGCCUCAGGGUGGGGGAUAACCUUCCGAAAGGAGGGCUAAUACCGCAUGACAUGCGCUAUAG